UUGGUCUCAAAUCAAGCAAGACGCCCCGCCGAAAUUUAGCAUAUCAAUAAGCGGAGGA
rnacentral:rRNA from 1 species